GCUCUUAUGGUGUAAUGGUUAGCACUCUGGACUUUGAAUCCAGCGAUCCGGGCUUCAAAUGCAGUAGGAGCU
rnacentral:tRNA from 1 species